GCGGAGGAAAAGAAACCAACUGGGAUUACCUUAGUAACGGCGAGUGAAGCGGUAAAAGCUCAAAUUUGAAAUCUGGUACUUUCAGUGCCCGAGUUGUAAUUUGUAGAAUUUGUCUUUGAUUAGGUCCUUGUCUAUGUUCCUUGGAACAGGACGUCAUAGAGGGUGAGAAUCCCGUUUGGCGAGGAUACCUUUUCUCUGUAAGACUUUUUCGAAGAGUCGAGUUGUUUGGGAAUGCAGCUCAAAGUGGGUGGUAAAUUCCAUCUAAAGCUAAAUAUUGGCGAGAGACCGAUAGCGAACAAGUACAGUGAUGGAAAGAUGAAAAGAACUUUGAAAAGAGAGUGAAAAAGUACGUGAAAUUGUUGAAAGGGAAGGGCAUUUGAUCAGACAUGGUGUUUUUUGCAUGCACUCGCCUCUCGUGGGCUUGGGCCUCUCAAAAAUUUCACUGGGCCAACAUCAAUUCUGGCAGCAGGAUAAAUCAUUAAGAAUGUAGCUACUUCGGUAGUGUUAUAGCUUUUUGGAAUACUGUUAGCCGGGAUUGAGGACUGCGCUUCGGCAAGG
rnacentral:rRNA from 1 species